GAUGAACGCUGGCGGCGUGCCUAAUACAUGCAAGUCGAGCGAACAGACGAGGAGCUUGCUCCUCUGAUGUUAGCGGCGGACGGGUGAGUAACACGUGGAUAACCUACCUAUAAGACUGGGAUAACUUCGGGAAACCGGAGCUAAUACCGGAUAACAUGUUGAACCGCAUGGUUCAACAGUGAAAGACGGUCUUGCUGUCACUUAUAGAUGGAUCCGCGCCGCAUUAGCUAGUUGGUAAGGUAACGGCUUACCAAGGCAACGAUGCGUAGCCGACCCGAGAGGGUGAUCGGCCACACUGGAACUGAGACACGGUCCAGACUCCUACGGGAGGCAGCAGUAGGGAAUCUUCCGCAAUGGGCGAAAGCCUGACGGAGCAACGCCGCGUGAGUGAAGAAGGUCUUCGGAUCGUAAAACUCUGUUAUUAGGGAAGAACAAAUGUGUAAGUAACUAUGCACGUCUUGACGGUACCUAAUCAGAAAGCCACGGCUAACUACGUG
rnacentral:rRNA from 1 species